GGAUCUGUUCUCAAAUGGUUUUCUAUAUUUAUCUUCAUAUCUUUUGUUGGAUUUAAAUAUGCUUGGAGCUAGUUGUUGUUCUUCUGGACUUUGACAUGCUUUAAAUACAAUUGACCAUAGAAAGUAAUCAUAAUCUAUCUUCAGAACUUGAGAUCUUAUGUGAGCAAUAGGCUACAAUGAAUAUGGAAAGCAUCAUUAGAAUCCGAACUAUGUUUCAGUUGAUAUAAGAACAGAGCUUUUGAUGAAUAAAUAACCUGUUAACAUCCACAGUAUAUAGUAAAAUAUGUGCAAUUCUGGGAAAUGAUAAUUUAUGUAAAUUGUCAAUAAUACUACAGUUUAACCUAUUGGUCUGCUUUUGCAAUAAUUUUAGACUUUCAGCAAGUUCUUCAUUUCAUUUUUCUCCAAGUAGUCAG
rnacentral:misc_RNA from 1 species